CCUACGGGGGGCAGCAGUGAGGAAUCUUGGUCAAUGGCCGGAAGGCUGAACCAGCCAUGCCGCGUGAAGGUCAGUGCCCUAUGGGCGUUAAACUUCUUUUGUGCGGGAGCAAUAAUGGUCACGUGUGGCCAGACGAGAGUACCGUACGAAUACGCAUCGGCUAACUCCGUGCCAGCAGCCGCGGUAACACGGGGGAUGCAAGCGUUAUCCGGAUUUAUUGGGUUUAAAGGGUGCGUAGGCUGUGGGGUUAGUUAGCGUGGAAAUGCCCCCGCUCAACGGGGUGAAGUGCCAUUGAUACUGCCUUGCUGGAAUGCGGAUGCCGUGGGAGGAAUGUGUGGUGUAGCGGUGAAAUGCAUAGAUAUCACACAGAACACCGAUUGCGAAGGCAUCUCACGAAUCCGCGAUUGACGCUGAUGCACGAAAGCGUGGGUAUCAAACAGGAUUAGAUACCCCUGUAGUC
rnacentral:rRNA from 1 species